rnacentral:sRNA from 1 species
UUUUAGCCCCGAUAGCAGUGAAAACCCUUUUGUGCCGGGGUUCGGCAUAAAAGGUUGCAGCGGAUAGCGGGAUUAGCU